GACAGAGGGUGCAAACGUUGUUCGGAAUUACUGGGUGUAAAGCGCGUGUAGGCUGCUCCGAAAGUCGGGUGUGAAAGCCCUGGGCUCAACCUAGGAAGUGCACUCGAAACUUCGGAGCUGGAGUCCUGGAGAGGAAGGCGGAAUUCUCGGUGUAGAGGUGAAAUUCGUAGAUAUCGAGAGGAACACCGGUGGCGAAGGCGGCCUUCUGGACAGUGACUGACGCUGAGACGCGAAAGCGUGGGGAGCAAACAGG
rnacentral:rRNA from 1 species